rnacentral:rRNA from 1 species
UACGUAGGUGGCAAGCGUUGUCCGGAUUUACUGGGCGUAAAGAGCGCGCAGGCGGCCAAGUCAGUCGAAUGUGAAAGCCCCCGGCUCAACUGGGGAGGGUCAUUCGAUACUGCUCGGCUCGAAGACAGGAGAGGGAAGCGGAAUUCCCGGUGUAGUGGUGAAAUGCGUAGAUAUCGGGAGGAACACCAGUGGCGAAGGCGGCUUUCUGGCCUGUUCUUGACGCUGAGGCGCGAAAGCUAGGGGAGCAAACGGG